GAUGAACGCUGGCGGCGUGCCUAAUACAUGCAAGUCGAGCGAACAGACGAGGAGCUUGCUCCUCUGACGUUAGCGGCGGACGGGUGAGUAACACGUGGAUAACCUACCUAUAAGACUGGGAUAACUUCGGGAAACCGGAGCUAAUACCGGAGAAUAUAUUGAACCGCAUGGGUCAAUAGUGAAAGACGGUUUUGCUGGAAGUACUAGAUGGAUCCGCGCCUGAUUAGCUAGUUGGUAAGGUAAAGGGUUUCCAAGGCAACGAUGCGUAGCCGACCUGAGAGGGUGAUCGGCCACACUGGAACGGAGACACGGUCCAUACUCCUACGGGAGGCAGCAGUAGGGAAUCUUCCGCAAUGGGCGAAAGCCUGACGGAGCAACGCCGCGUGAGUGAUGAAGGUCUUCUGAUCGUAAAGCUCUGUUAUUAGUGAAGAACAAAUGUGUAAGUAACUAUGCACGUCUUGACGGUACCUAAUAAGAAAGCCACGGCUAACUACGUG
rnacentral:rRNA from 1 species